AUACUGUUUGAGUUAUAGCAGUAACAACAAAAUUUCCCAGUCAUCUCUAUAAAUAGUCUCUAGUAUGUCUUGCUUGUUGAUUCAUAUCUUGAAAGAGAAAAUGAUUUAUGGCGUCAACUACAUCUAUUUUUUCAUCGUAUUGCUAUGCAUGACAUCCAUUUUCACUCUAGGAGAAACAUCAUGGAUUCAUUGUUCUGACGAAGGGCCAUGUCCAAAUAAUGAAAUAGCUUGUAAUAGUUUUUGUUUGAAAACGUUAAAUCUUGACAUUUCCAGGUGCAUAAAAAGUCUAUGUUGUUGUGGAUAUUCGUAAAGCAUUUGUAAAAUUGUUUCUCUAAAGUCUUUUAUGAACUCUAUUAAAAUAAGUGAAAAAUAAAUAUAUACAUGGUUAAAAUGUCUUAUUUUU